CAAGUACCUGUGAAUGCUUAUCAUUUCUAUCUGAAGAUAAUUUUGUUCCUUUUAUCUGCUUAUUUACAUACAGGAAAUAAUACCUACAUUUGGGGAGCAUUAUACUAUAUGCAGAUCAAACAUUAAUUUUGCAUUCUCGUGUUCCACUGUCAGUAUUGUGACUUACUCAUUGGAUGGCCAUGACAUCUUAGGAGUUAAAUUUAACCACACUAUUUACACAUAUAUGGUUGUAACAAAGGAAAGAAGGUUCUCCUGAGACAUUUCCUUUUUGAUGCAAAUGUGCUGCAAUGCUUAUCUCCGAUUAGCUUGUCUGUCAUGGUGUAAAGAAGUGCUAGCCUAUAAAAUUGUACUUUAUUUACUCUUAUCAUAUUUUGUGUUGUACUCUUCAAAUUCAUAUGAGGAGCUUUUGUUACUAGAGUUAGUGUUGUUAGCGUGAUGCAUACUUGGUACUCGAGUUGCUUCUGCAUAUAUUAACUAUUGAUUAAGACUUAAAUAAUGUCUGAAGAUCCAGUGGUAUUUUGACUUAUUACUGGUGGAGGGAACAAAACGCUUGAAUUUUUAUGAGGCUGUUUCCAUAAUCUAGACUUACUGUACUCAUCAAAAAAUGAAUAAUUAUAUCGACUCUUUUUAAGCGGAGAGCAGGUUAAAGAUUAUGACCUUUCAUCCACUUAAUUUCUGUGGUAUUUGUGCGUGGCAGCUUCUUGCAAAAUAAUAAUCUGACUGGAACAGUACCAAGCAACCUUGUUGGGAAGUCUGGGCUGAACCUUAAGGUUUCCGGCAAUCCAUUUUUGCCACCACCUGCUUCAUAAGAGCCCAAGCGAAUGUAUCUUCUUAUGGUCCAACAACCAAGACUGUACCGGCAUUUUCUAAAAGCUGCCCGUUUCCUGUUAUUUAUUGUUGGUAUAUAGAGGUUGCCAUAAAUCAGUCACCAUGGAAACUUGGGUGUACAAAUUUGUGAUCGACCUUUCUGCUUCAUUCAGUAAAACGAACACUUGCGUGUCUAUGUCUUGCAUAUGGGAUCCUGUUUGUGGACUAUUCUCACAGUACUGAACAUCUUUUUUUUUUUGGGAAAUGCUGCUUGUAUAUGGGAUUAUACAGAUCAGAGGUAGCGCUGACGCAUUUUUUUUUUUUCGGUAUGAUGACACCAAUUUGUGUCAAUCCGCAUUCUUGAAGGAAAUGGAAUUUGCACAGUUGUAAUCUGAAUCAAAUACUCUGUAAUUAAUUUUUCUGAAAUUGUUGUGACGUUAGUUAGUAGCA